UAAGCAUAUCAAUAAGCGGAGGAAAAGAAACCAACAGGGAUUGCCCUAGUAACGGCGAGUGAAGCGGCAACAGCUCAAAUUUGAAAGCUAGCCUUCGGGUUCGCAUUGUAAUUUGUAGAGGAUGAUUUGGGGAAGCCGCCUGUCUAAGUUCCUUGGAACAGGACGUCAUAGAGGGUGAGAAUCCCGUAUGUGACAGGAAAUGGCACCCUAUGUAAAUCUCCUUCGACGAGUCGAGUUGUUUGGGAAUGCAGCUCUAAAUGGGAGGUAAAUUUCUUCUAAAGCUAAAUAUUGGCGAGAGACCGAUAGCGCACAAGUAGAGUGAUCGAAAGAUGAAAAGCACUUUGGAAAGAGAGUUAAAAAGCACGUGAAAUUGUUGAAAGGGAAGCGCUUGCAAUCAGACUUGUUUAAACUGUUCGGCCGGUCUUCUGACCGGUUUACUCAGUUUGGACAGGCCAGCAUCAGUUUCGGCGGCCGGAUAAAGGCUCUGGGAAUGUGGCCUCCACUUCGGUGGAGGUGUUAUAGCCCAGGGUGUAAUACGGCCAGCCGGGACUGAGGUCCGCGCUUCGGCUAGGAUGCUGGCGUAAUGGUUGUAAGCGACCCGUCUUGAAACACGGACCAAGGAGUCUAACAUCUAUGCGAGUGUUCGGGUGUCAAACCCCUGCGCGUAAUGAAAGUGAACGGAGGUGGGAACCCGCAAGGGUGCACCAUCGACCGAUCCUGAUGUCUUCGGAUGGAUUUGAGUAAGAGCAUAGCUGUUGGGACCCGAAAGAUGGUGAACUAUGCCUGAAUAGGGUGAAGCCAGAGGAAACUCUGGU
rnacentral:rRNA from 1 species